GCAACAGGUUCCAGGAUGCAAGAGCUGGACAAACUCCUCCAAAGCAAGCAAUUCUAGCCUGGGGGACUAGAGUGACAUAAUCCCUCUUACGGUCCAGCUGGAAGAGCUUUCUUCAUCUUAUUAACCUUCUGGAGGAGCAUCUGUCAACCCCAGUAGACUUCAGUAGCACUAUGAUAAACAACGGAAGUCUCUUCUGCUGCCUGUUCCUUUUGAACGUUGAUCAUUUGGGCAUUCCAGAGGUGGGCAUUUGUAAAGAUCCAUUCAACAUACAGAGAUUUCUGUGCAACUGCGCUUUAUCAUAGGAGACAUCCAGAUUGGCAGCAAGAAUCUGUUUUCUUGCACUGUAAGUAC
rnacentral:lncRNA from 1 species